rnacentral:miRNA from 1 species
CAUUUACACUCCGUCAUAUUG